GCACACGGUGGUUUAGUGGUUAGCAUGUUUGCCUCAAACCUCCAGUGUCCGAGGUUCGAUUCCCGCCGGGGCC